rnacentral:pre_miRNA from 1 species
AGUGUAAUUUCUGGGUCACAUGGUACUAGCAUGCUUACUUUUUAAAGAAACUGACAAACUAUUUUCCAAGGUAGACAUACCAUUUUGUUUUCCUACGAAAACU